AUGUGUGUACAAAUGCUAUGGCGCCAGAUUUCUCGCGAUGGUGCCAGAUUCCUUCCCAAAUCUGAGCUUCGGCCUAUCCCCCUGGAUUUAUCAGAUCCGAGAGCCCACGUCCCCGUCUUCGGCGGCCGAGUUCCGAGUUCCGAGUCCAUUCCCGGCGGCCGACCGAGUUCCGAGUGCCUACUGCGCCCAAUUCUUCGGCGGCCGAGUUCCGAGUCCGUUCCCAGAGAGAAGGUAGCGCCACAGCGUUGUGCUCGGAGCAGGAAGGGCCCCGGACGCCGGACCCCAAGACGCCUGGAAUGAUUUGGGCCUGAUUCAACUGGUUCGUGAUAGGCGGCUAUUUGUGAUCUGCUAGCUUGCGCUUUGAUCCAGGAGCCCCCCCAUAACUGAUCCCAUAUCUGAUUUUGGAGAUCGUCCAGGAUUGGGAGCAGGAGGUGAAGCUGGGGAAGGGGAAGAAGAUGUCGUGCGGGCUGGUGUAGUUCCAGGCGCUGCCGGUGUAUGUCAACAAGUUCAUUCUCCGCCACAACUGCUACGAGUGGCCGCUCCCGCAUGUACUGAUCUCCGCAACUCAUACUUGUAGUGGACAGAAGAGUACAAGUGCAAAGAUUUAUUUCCUAUUAAGAUGUUUAAAUCAUUGUUCAGCCAACCAUUAUUGUAAUCCUCAUUUUGAAAGUAAUCUAAGUUGUAAUCUUCAGUAUUCACAUCUCUGUAUUUUGUAUGUCAGUAAGUGCUGACGAAUUGUUUCACCUUCCUUUGUUUCCAUUACUUUAUAUGUGGCAUUUUUAGUUACCCUCGUUUUUAGCUUUUUAAA